CAAGGUGGUUACAGCGACGGGGCUCACCUCUUACCAUUCCGAACAGAGAAGUUAAGCCCGUUUGCGCCGAUGGUACUACAAUCCGUGGGAGAGUAGGUCGCCGCCUUCUUUAAGGUCCAAUCCAAAUUACUGGGUUGGACCUUUUUUUAUGCCCUGUCCCCAGGGACCCCCCCCUGGUCGCGGCACCCACCAAAAAAAGAACCGCCACCCUCGCCCGCAACAGGGAUGGAGCGUAUAUCCCUUUUGCGCCGGUCUCUCCGC
rnacentral:rRNA from 1 species